rnacentral:rRNA from 1 species
UACGAAGGGGGCAAGCGUUGUUCGGAAUUAUUGGGCGUAAAGCGCGUGUAGGCGGCUUAGCAAGUCGGGCGUGAAAGCCCUCGGCUCAACCGAGGAAGUGCACCCGAAACUGCUGGAGCUUGAGUGCCGGAGAGGAUGGCGGAAUACCCCAAGUAGAGGUGAAAUUCGUAGAUAUGGGGUGGAACACCGGUGGCGAAGGCGGCCAUCUGGACGGUAACUGAACGCUGAGACGCGAAAAGCGUGGGGAGCAAACAGGG